rnacentral:rRNA from 1 species
GUGGGGAAUUUUGGACAAUGGGGGCAACCCUGAUCCAGCAAUGCCGCGUGCAGGAAGAAGGCCUUCGGGUUGUAAACUGCUUUUGUACGGAACGAAACGGUCCUGGUUAAUACCUGGGGCUAAUGACGGUACCGUAAGAAUAAGCACCGGCUAACUACGUGCCAGCAGCCGCGGUAAUACGUAGGGUGCAAGCGUUAAUCGGAAUUACUGGGCGUAAAGCGUGCGCAGGCGGUUUUGUAAGACAGGCGUGAAAUCCCCGGGCUCAACCUGGGCAUGGCGCUUGUGACUGCAAGGCUGGAGUGCGGCAGAGGGGGAUGGAAUUCCGCGUGUAGCAGUGAAAUGCGUAGAUAUGCGGAGGAACACCGAUGGCGAAGGCAAUCCCCUGGGCCUGCACUGACGCUCAUGCACGAAAGCGUGGGGAGCAAACAGGAUUAGAAACCCUAGUAGUCC